rnacentral:rRNA from 1 species
ACGAACGCUGGCGGCGUGGAUAAGACAUGCAAGUCGAACGAGAGAAUUGCUAGCUUGCUAAUAAUUCUCUAGUGGCGCACGGGUGAGUAACACGUGAGUAACCUGCCCCCGAGAGCGGGAUAGCCCUGGGAAACUGGGAUUAAUACCGCAUAGUAUCGAAAGAUUAAAGCAGCAAUGCGCUUGGGGAUGGGCUCGCGGCCUAUUAGUUAGUUGGUGAGGUAACGGCUCACCAAGGCGAUGACGGGUAGCCGGUCUGAGAGGAUGUCCGGCCACACUGGAACUGAGACACGGUCCAGACACCUACGGGUGGCAGCAGUCGAGAAUCAUUCACAAUGGGGGAAACCCUGAUGGUGCGACGCCGCGUGGGGGAAUGAAGGUCUUCGGAUUGUAAACCCCUGUCAUGUGGGAGCAAAUUAAAAAGAUAGUACCACAAGAGGAAGAGACGGCUAACUCUGUGCCAGCAGCCGCGGUAAUACAGAGGUCUCAAGCGUUGUUCGGAAUCACUGGGCGUAAAGCGUGCGUAGGCUGUUUCGUAAGUCGUGUGUGAAAGGCGCGGGCUCAACCCGCGGACGGCACAUGAUACUGCGAGACUAGAGUAAUGGAGGGGGAACCGGAAUUCUCGGUGUAGCAGUGAAAUGCGUAGAUAUCGAGAGGAACACUCGUGGCGAAGGCGGGUUCCUGGACAUUAACUGACGCUGAGGCACGAAGGCCAGGGGAGCGAAAGGGAUUAGAUACCCCUGUAGUCCUGGCAGUAAACGGUGCACGCUUGGUGUGCGGGGAAUCGACCCCCUGCGUGCCGGAGCUAACGCGUUAAGCGUGCCGCCUGGGGAGUACGGUCGCAAGAUUAAAACUCAAAGAAAUUGACGGGGACCCGCACAAGCGGUGGAGUGUGUGGCUUAAUUCGAUGCAACGCGAAGAACCUUACCUGGGCUUGACAUGUAAUGAACAACAUGUGAAAGCAUGCGACUCUUCGGAGGCGUUACACAGGUGCUGCAUGGCCGUCGUCAGCUCGUGUCGUGAGAUGUUUGGUUAAGUCCAGCAACGAGCGCAACCCCUGUUGCCAGUUACCAGCACGUGAAGGUGGGGACUCUGGCGAGACUGCCCAGAUCAACUGGGAGGAAGGUGGGGACGACGUCAGGUCAGUAUGGCCCUUAUGCCCAGGGCUGCACACGUACUACAAUGCCCAGUACAGAGGGGGCCGAAGCCGCGAGGCGGAGGAAAUCCUGAAAACUGGGCCCAGUUCGGACUGUAGGCUGCAACCCGCCUACACGAAGCCGGAAUCGCUAGUAAUGGCGCAUCAGCUACGGCGCCGUGAAUACGUUCCCGGGUCUUGUACACACCGCCCGUCACAUCAUGGAAGCCGGUCGCACCCGAAGUAUCUGAAGCCAACCGCAAGGAGGCAGGGUCCUAAGGUGAGACUGGUAACUGGGAUG